rnacentral:rRNA from 1 species
GUCGGAGGAGGCUAGCGUUGUUCGGAAUUACUGGGCUUAAAGAGCGUGUAGGCGGAUCGGUAAGUACCGAGUGAAAGCCCCCGGCUCAACCGGGGAACUGCUCGAUAAACUACCGGUCUUGAGGCAGGUAGGGGCGAGUGGAACUCUAGGUGGAGCGGUGAAAUGCGUAGAGAUCUAGAGGAACGCCGGUAGCGAAAGCGACUCGCUGGGCCUGUCCUGACGCUGAGACGCGAAAGCGUAGGGAGCGAACGGGAUUAGAUACCCCCGUA